GUCCACGCCGUAACGAUGCGCACUAGGUGUCGGGGUAUCGACCCCUCGGUGCCGCAGCUAACGCGAUAAGUGCGCCGCCUGGGGACUACGGCCGCAAGGCUAAACUCAAGGAAUUGACGGGGCCCGCACAAGCAGCGGAGCGUGUGGUUUAAUUCGACGCAACGCGAAGAACCUUACCUGGGCUUGACAUGCGUGUGGUACGAGGCCGAAAGGUCGAGGACCCGCAAGGGAGCACGCACAGAUGCUGCAUGGCUGUCGU
rnacentral:rRNA from 1 species